AUUGAACGCUGGCGGCAUGCUUUACACAUGCAAGUCGAACGGUAACAGGCCGCAAGGUGCUGACGAGUGGCGAACGGGUGAGUAAUGCAUCGGAACGUGCCCAGUCGUGGGGGAUAACGCAGCGAAAGCUGCGCUAAUACCGCAUACGAUCUAUGGAUGAAAGCGGGGGACCGUAAGGCCUCGCGCGAUUGGAGCGGCCGAUGUCAGAUUAGGUAGUUGGUGGGGUAAAGGCUCACCAAGCCAACGAUCUGUAGCUGGUCUGAGGGGACGACCAGCCACACUGGGACUGAGACACGGCCAAGACUCCUACGGGAGGCAGCAGUGGGGAAUUUUGGACAAUGGGCGCAAGCCUGAUCCAGCAAUGCCGCGUGCAGGAAGAAGGCCUUCGGGUUGUAAACUGCUUUUGUACGGAACGAAAAGGCUCUGGAUAAUACCUGGGGCUCAUGACGGUACCGUAAGAAUAAGCACCGGCUAACUACGUGCCAGCCGCCGCCGUAACAC
rnacentral:rRNA from 1 species